UACGAAGGGGGCUAGCGUUGUUCGGAAUUACUGGGCGUAAAGGGCGCGUAGGCGGCCUGUUUAGUCAGAAGUGAAAGCCCCGGGCUCAACCUGGGAAUAGCUUUUGAUACUGGCAGGCUUGAGUUCCGGAGAGGAUGGUGGAAUUCCCAGUGUAGAGGUGAAAUUCGUAGAUAUUGGGAAGGACACCGGUGGCGAAGGCGGCCAUCUGGACGGACACUGACGCUGAGGCGCGAAAGCGUGGGGAGCGAACAGG
rnacentral:rRNA from 1 species